rnacentral:rRNA from 1 species
GUAAGGAAUAUUGGUCAAUGGGGGCAACCCUGAACCAGCCAUGCCGCGUGAAGGAUGAAGGCGCUACGCGUUGUAAACUGCUUUUAACCGGGAAGAAACCCCAGGACGUGUCCUGGGUUGACGGUACCGGAGGAAUAAGCACCGGCUAACUUCGUGCCAGCAGCCGCGGUAAUACGAAGGGUGCAAGCGUUAUCCGGAUUCAUUGGGUUUAAAGGGUGCGUAGGCGGAGCGUUAAGUCAGUGGUGAAAUCCUGCAGCUUAACUGUAGACUUGCCAUUGAUACUGGCGCUCUUGAGUGCACUUGAAGUGGGCGGAAUGUGCCGUGUAGCGGUGAAAUGCUUAGAUAUGGCACAGAACACCAAUUGCGAAGGCAGCUCACUAAGGCGAUACUGACGCUGAGGCACGAAAGCGUGGGGAUCGAACAGGAUUAGAAACCCGGGUAGUCC